rnacentral:rRNA from 1 species
GAUCAUGGCUCAGGAUGAACGCUGGCGGCGUGCUUAACACAUGCAAGUCGAACGAAGCACUUAAAUUUGACUCUUCGGAUGAAGAUUUUUGUGACUGAGUGGCGGACGGGUGAGUAGCGCGUGGGUAACCUGCCUCAUACAGGGGGAUAACAGUUAGAAAUGACUGCUAAUACCGCAUAAGCGCACAGGGUCGCAUGACCUGGUGUGAAAAACUCCGGUGGU